GAUGAACGCUGGCGGCGUGCCUAAUACAUGCAAGUCGAGCGAACAGAUAAGGAGCUUGCUCCUUUGACGUUAGCGGCGGACGGGUGAGUAACACGUGGAUAACCUACCUAUAAGACUGGGAUAACUUCGGGAAACCGGAGCUAAUACCGGAUAACAUAUUGAACCGCAUGGUUCAAUAGUGAAAGGCGGCUUUGCUGUCACUUAUAGAUGGAUCCGCGCCGUAUUAGUUAGUUGGUAAGGUAACGGCUUACCAAGGCAACGAUACGUAGCCGACCUGAGAGGGUGAUCGGCCACACUGGAACUGAGACACGGUCCAGACUCCUACGGGAGGCAGCAGUAGGGAAUCUUCCGCAAUGGGCGAAAGCCUGACGGAGCAACGCCGCGUGAGUGAUGAAGGUCUUCGGAUCGUAAAACUCUGUUAUCAGGGAAGAACAAAUGUGUAAGUAACUGUGCACAUCUUGACGGUACCUGAUCAGAAAGCCACGGCUAACUACGUG
rnacentral:rRNA from 1 species